rnacentral:rRNA from 1 species
UACAGAGGGUGCGAGCGUUAAUCGGAAUUACUGGGCGUAAAGCGCGCGUAGGCGGCUUUGCAAGUCGGGUGUGAAAUCCCCAGGCUUAACCUGGGAACUGCAUUCGAGACUGCAUUGCUAGAGUAUGGGAGAGGGAAGUGGAAUUUCCGGUGUAGCGGUGAAAUUCGUAGAUAUUAGGAAGAACACCAGUGGCGAAGGCGGCUCACUGGCCCGGUACUGACGCUCAUGUGCGAAAGCGUGGGGAGCAAACAGG